rnacentral:rRNA from 1 species
UUAUAAGAGACAGCAGCCGCCACGGGAAUACAGAGGGUGCGAGCGUUAAUCGGAUUUACUGGGCGUAAAGCGUGCGUAGGCGGCUUCUUAAGUCGGAUGUGAAAUCCCUGAGCUUAACUUAGGAAUUGCAUUCGAUACUGGGAAGCUAGAGUAUGGGAGAGGAUGGUAGAAUUCCAGGUGUAGCGGUGAAAUGCGUAGAGAUCUGGAGGAAUACCGAUGGCGAAGGCAGCCAUCUGGCCUAAUACUGACGCUGAGGUACGAAAGCAUGGGGAGCAAACAGGAUUAGAGACCCCGGUAGUCCCUGUCUCUUAUAC